rnacentral:rRNA from 1 species
ACUUAAAUUGAAGAGUUUGAUCAUGGCUCAGAUUGAACGCUGGCGGCAGGCCUAACACAUGCAAGUCGAGCGGCAGCGGGAAAGUAGCUUGCUACUUUUGCCGGCGAGCGGCGGACGGGUGAGUAAUGCCUGGGGAUCUGCCCAGUCGAGGGGGAUAACUACUGGAAACGGUAGCUAAUACCGCAU